rnacentral:rRNA from 1 species
UACGGGGGGGGGCAAGCGUUGUUCGGAAUUACUGGGCGUAAAGGGCUCGUAGGCGGCCAACUAAGUCAGACGUGAAAUCCCCAGGCUCAACCUGGGAACUGCGUCUGAUACUGGACGGCUUGAGUAUGGGAGAGGGAUGUAGAAUUCCAGGUGUAGCGGUGAAAUGCGUAGAUAUCUGGAGGAAUACCGGUGGCGAAGGCGGCAUCCUGGACCAUUACUGAUGCUGAGGCGCGAAAGCUAGGGGAGCAAACGGG